GGCGGCGUGCCUAAUACAUGCAAGUCGAACGGUCUUUCUAUGGAAGCUUGCUUCCACUGAGAAGAUAGUGGCGAACGGGUGAGUAACACGUGGGUAACCUGCCCAUAAGAGGGGGAUAACAUCCGGAAACGGGUGCUAAUACCGCAUAGUUUUCUUGAUCGCAUGAUCGGGAAAGGAAAGACGGCCUUUGUGCUGUCGCUUAUGGAUGGACCCGCGGCGUAUUAGUUAGUUGGUGAGGUAACGGCUCACCAAGACGAUGAUACGUAGCCGACCUGAGAGGGUGAUCGGCCACAUUGGGACUGAGACACGGCCCAAACUCCUACGGGAGGCAGCAGUAGGGAAUCUUCCGCAAUGGACGAAAGUCUGACGGAGCAACGCCGCGUGAGUGAAGAAAGGUUUUCGGAUCGUAAAACUCUGUUGUCAGAGAAGAACAAGUUGGAGAGUAACUGCUCCAGCCUUGACGGUAUCUGACCAGAAAGCCACGGCUAACUACGUGCCAGCAGCGGC
rnacentral:rRNA from 1 species